rnacentral:rRNA from 1 species
GACGUAGGGCGCGAGCGUUGUCCGGAUUUAUUGGGCGUAAAGAGCUCGUAGGCGGCUUGUUGCGGUCGACUGUGAAAACCCGCGGCUUAACUGCGGGCUUGCAGUUGAUACGGGCAGGCUAGAGUUCGGUAGGGGAGACUGGAAUUCCUGGUGUAGCGGUGAAAUGCGCAGAUAUCAGGAGGAACACCGGUGGCGAAGGCGGGUCUCUGGGCCGAUACUGACGCUGAGGAGCGAAAGCGUGGGGAGCGAACAGG